GUCGGCGUGUUGCGGGACACAAUAUGGAACGAGUGGAUAAUGUUUAGCUAGCUAAUUGUUUUUCGGCACUAUUAAUGCAAUGGAAAAGUUGAUCUGCCGUUGCUAUUGGUGCAGUUUGUAUGAUACUACGAGCUGCUUUUCCUAAACCUGUUUCGGAACUAUGAAUGGAACGAUCGGGAAGAUCCGGCAAAUCAUACGACGUUUGGGAACUUGUUACCGGUCGUAGUUGUUAUCGUGAUGUGUUUGCUGCUAGAGAAGCCGGUAUUCCCGCAACCCGCUAACUGAUCGAACCUUCGGAAUAACAAAAACAAACGGUACGGAGGAGCUUGCUUUGUAUUACGAAAACGAUUAAAGUAACCGACACUUUCUUAAAAAACAAUUGCUAACAGAAUUCCUGAUUUUAUUCGGAUUACGCAACAUGGCACGAUGAAAAUGGAACUGGUUGCUGCUCGGUGCUACAUAGACUUGCGGCUACAAGUUCUUGGUUUGAACACUGUGCUAACUCCAACUAAAGCACCAAACGGAUUGAAACCAGCAAUAGAAAUUUAAUUAGAUCCUAAAUUGAGAUAUUAUAACUUUAA